UGUAGGAGUGAGCCUGCUCGCGAUAACGGUAUGUCAGAUAACAAUUGAGUCGGCUGAUCCACCGCUAUCGCGAGCAGGCUCACUCCUACA
rnacentral:misc_RNA from 1 species